GAUGAAGAACGCAGCGAAAUGCGAUAAGUGAUGUGAAUUGCAGAAUUCAGUGAAUCAUCGAAUCUUUGAACGCACCUUGCGCCCUUUGGCCAUUCCGAAGGGCAUGCCUGUUUGAGUAUCAUGAACACCUCAACUCUUUAUGGUUUUCCAUGAUGAGCUUGGACUCUGGGGGUUUUGCUGGCUCACAGUCGGCUCCUCUAAAAUGAAUCAGCUUACCAGUGUUUGGUGGGUAUCAUGGGUGUGAUAACUAUCUACGCUUGUGGUUUUUCCACCAGGUAACCUUCAGCAGUGGAGGUUCGCUGGAGCUCAUAGAUGUCUCUCCUCAGUGAGGACAGCCCUUUGAAUGUUUGAUCUCAAAUCAGGUAGGACUACCCGCUGAACUUAAGCAUAUCAAUAAGCGGAGGA
rnacentral:misc_RNA from 1 species